GUGCAGCUCAACUGCAGUAGGACUGAUUCUUCCCUAGGAGACGGAGUUCUCCUUUCAUCAUCUUCCCCUUCUGUGCAUGGUAGCCGCUUGAACUUGCCCCUCCAAGAGUCAAGGACAAGACCACCCCAUGGAAUGGGCCAAGUGGACUCCCCAUGAAGCCUCCAACCAGACCCAGGCCAGCACCCUCCUGGGGCUCCUGCUGGGUGACCACACAGAGGGGAGGAAUGACACCAACUCCACCAGGGCUCUGAAGGUGCCAGACGGAACCAGCGCUGCCUGGUAUAUACUCACCAUCAUCGGCAUCUACGCGGUGAUUUUCGUCUUCCGGCUGGCCAGCAACAUCCUCAGAAAGAAUGACAAGUCCUUAGAAGAUGUUUAUUACUCAAAUCUGACCUCUGAACUCAAAAUGACAGGGCUGCAGGGCAAGGUCGCCAAGUGCUCCACCCUGUCUAUCAGCAACAGAGCUGUGCUGCAGCCCUGCCAGGCCCACCUGGGGGCAAAGGGCGGAAGCAGCGGGCCCCAAACCGCAACCCCAGAGACCCCCUGAGAGUCAAGGCCAGGAGGCCUUCCCUAGGGUGGCCCCAGACUUCUUGGAGGGGAGCAGCUUUGGGUUUACUUGGAGCCCUUGAGGGGGACUGGGGGUGCAUCACUGACAAGGGGUGCUUCUGGCUGCUAGUUUGUGACCAGAGCCAGCCACCCAGUUCCUUCUCAGACUUCCAGGUGCUUCGAGAAGAGAGAGCAGGGCAGCGGUUUCUAGCCAAAUUCAAUCUUCACUGGCAAAACCUGUGCUCUGGGGAGGAGCACUAUUCCACUGUUCUCGGAGGAAUCCGGGAGACUCCUGGGGGCAUACAAGGAGGUGACUCCUUGUCGUGGAAAGAAGAAUGAACUUGGAGUCAGUUCUGGGUUAAAAUUCAACUUCUGGGGAGUCACAUAAACUGAGCAGCUUAGUUGCUCACCUGAGACAUUUAGGGUUUGGAGACAGAUGGUUUUAAAAGUCUAUUUUAUUUGAAAGACUCUAGCUUGAAUAUAGGACCAAAGUUGUUAAUAUCA
rnacentral:lncRNA from 1 species